GGAUGCAAAGACAAACUGGCUCCAACAUUUAUUACCCAUUCACUGCCAUGGUGAAUUUGGCUGAUCUGGCUGGCUAGACAGGUGACGCCUUUCUCCCUCACUGCUCCAGGUUUAUCCCCCACAAAGCUGUGAUCUUGAUCUAAGAGAACGGCCUUCCCCCAAUAGACCAGUCUUUGGUCAAGGGUAUGCAAGCAGCUAUGCUCCCCUGCUAAACCCUCCAAACAAGAGUUCAAGAAGCUUGAUUAAAAAAGAACUAAGAAAUAUUUCAAUUUCAGGACUAGGAAAAAAUUGUUCCU
rnacentral:snRNA from 1 species